UACGUAGGGGGCAAGCGUUGUCCGGAAUCAUUGGGCGUAAAGCGCGUGUAGGCGGCCCGGUAAGUCCGCUGUGAAAGUCGGGGGCUCAACCCUCGGAUGCCGGUGGAUACUGUCGGGCUAGAGUGCGGGAGAGGCGAGUGGAAUUCCUGGUGUAGCGGUGAAAUGCGCAGAUAUCAGGAGGAACACCAAUUGCGAAGGCAGCUCGCUGGAACGUAACUGACGCUGAGACGCGAAAGCGUGGGGAGCAAGCAGG
rnacentral:rRNA from 1 species